rnacentral:rRNA from 1 species
GACGAACGCUGGCGGCGUGCUUAACACAUGCAAGUCGAACGGAAAGGCCCUGCUUUUGUGGGGUGCUCGAGUGGCGAACGGGUGAGUAACACGUGAGUAACCUGCCCUUGACUUUGGGAUAACUUCAGUAAACUGGGGCUAAUACCGGAUAGGAGCUCCUGCUGCAUGGUGGGGGUUGGAAAGUUUCGGCGGUUGGGGAUGGACUCGCGGCUUAUCAGCUUGUUGGUGGGGUAGUGGCUUACCAAGGCUUUGACGGGUAGCCGGCCUGAGAGGGUGACCGGCCACAUUGGGACUGAGAUACGGCCCAGACUCCUACGGGAGGCAGCAGUGGGGAAUAUUGCACAAUGGGCGGAAGCCUGAUGCAGCAACGCCGCGUGCGGGAUGACGGCCUUCGGGUUGUAAACCGCUUUCGCCUGUGACGAAGCGUAAGUGACGGUAAUGGGUAAAGAAGCACCGGCUAACUACGUG